UUUUAUGGAGAGUUUGAUCCUGGCUCAGGAUGAACGCUGGCGGCGUGCCUAAUACAUGCAAGUCGAGCGAACAGACGAGGAGCUUGCUCCUCUGACGUUAGCGGCGGACGGGUGAGUAACACGUGGAUAACCUACCUAUAAGACUGGGAUAACUUCGGGAAACCGGAGCUAAUACCGGAUAAUA
rnacentral:rRNA from 1 species